UUUUCGGUGGUCUAAAGGCUUAGGACGCUCGCACGGAAUGCAAGAGAUCCGGGUUCGACUCCCGGCCGAGGAA
rfam:Trachymyrmex zeteki contig14516, whole genome shotgun sequence.